CUUUUAUUUUAAUUCAUAAUAAUAAUAAUAAUAAUAAUAAUAAUAUAUGUAAAAUGUAAAAUGACUCAAACACCCUUGAUAUCAUUUGAUGCUAAAUGGAAAAAAGGGCAAAAAGGACUUUUACCAAAAAAAAUUUGCUAGAUGCUAGGGAAAAAUGGUGUUUUGUUGAGGUUGGAGAUGAAGAUUUUAGAGCAACGCGGAUUAGCAAUAAUACUAAAUGGUGGAGACUGGAAUGAAAUAUAUAGAAACUAAUUUCAUACUUUGGAGUGGGAAACAGGAGCAAUCCUAGACUAGUUUACAUGAUUAGAUUACGAUCUACUCAGUUGAUUAACAUGAGAUGGGAGAAAUGUAAAUCAUACUUGAUGGACUAAAAGAAUUUGUGUUACAAAAGACAAGAGAUUGCUUGCCUGAAUGUAUACCGAUGGCGAAGAAAAGCACUGAAGCUGCUGCUACGAAAAGAGACAUGAUUGUCUCAAUACCCAGAAAAUGUUCUGAGGGAUGAAAGAGUUUGUCUCUCUCUCUCUCUCUCUCUCUCUCUCUAUAUAUAUAUAUAUAUAUAUAAAUAUACACCCACACACCCAAGGCUGAUGCCUCUCUAGGGAUCCACACUGGAAAUUCCGGGAACAUAUUUGUGUAAAG
rnacentral:lncRNA from 1 species